GUCCCUCUCGCGAACCUGAAUGUUCCCCUGUCACGUACCUUUAAACAAUCUCCUGAAAAUUAUGAAGAGGCAGACAGUGUCGGAGUGUUUCGUUGCUGAAAUCUCUAAGCAUCAGAAGCCCAAAGCCCCCAGGAAAGGAAAAUCCAUGGAGAUGAAAUACUAAAAAAAACCCUCCGAAUUGCCUAAAAUCAGAACUAAAAAAGCUGGCGAAAUCUCCGAAAAAUGAAGAGACAGAUAACAGAUAACUGGCAGGAGACGUUCGAGCUCUCCAGUGGACGAAAUGGGCUGCCACAAAAGUGCUCGGACGAAAAAGCGAGUCUUUCAGAUUUUCGAUUCCAGUUGCUGCUAGAUCUUGUGUUGAUCAGUCAAACAAAGGAUUAGGUGACAUACGCAGCUAUGGAGAGACUCCAAAAUUAUGGGUGUACUCCGGAUCUUCUGAUCAAGACUCCUGACAGUGUUCUUAGGAAAUUAAUUCAUCCUGUUAAUUUUUAUGAGAUGAAAAGUAUUCGAACCUUCUGAAAAGUUUGGAAAAGUAAUGAGCUAUUCGAUCACUGUGAAUAGUUUUCUGAAACUGUUGGUUUUAAAGGGAAAUGUUAAAAAACAUUUUUCAAAGACGUGAAAUUCUCUACAAAAAAUGUCCCCUCUCGAUUUUUUUAAAGCUGUGUCUUUCAUAUAUUUUGACAGAAGGAAUGAAAAACCAGCUUAGAACUCCUAAACCUAUUUCUAAUCCUGUUUAGAUUUAACCUGUUAAUUUUUAUAAGAUGAGGAUAUUGUUUCAAUAAUUAUGCUACAAAUAUUUAUGAAA